rnacentral:rRNA from 1 species
AGUGAACGCUGGCGGUAGGCCUAACACAUGCAAGUCGAACGGCAGCACAGUAAGAGCUUGCUCUUACGGGUGGCGAGUGGCGGACGGGUGAGGAAUACAUCGGAAUCUACUUUUUCGUGGGGGAUAACGUAGGGAGACUUACGCUAAUACCGCAUACGACCUACGGGUGAAAGCAGGGGAUCUUCGGACCUUGCGCGAUUGAAUGAGCCGAUGUCGGAUUAGCUAGUUGGCGGGGUAAAGGCCCACCAAGGCGACGAUCCGUAGCUGGUCUAAGAGGAUGAUCAGCCACACUGGAACUGAGACACGGUCCAGACUCCUACGGGAGGCAGCAGUGGGGAAUAUUGGACAAUGGGCGCAAGCCUGAUCCAGCCAUACCGCGUGGGUGAAGAAGGCCUUCGGGUUGUAAAGCCCUUUUGUUGGGAAAGAAAAGCAGCAGGUUAAUACCCCGCUGUUCUGACGGUACCCAAAGAAUAAGCACCGGCUAACUUCGUG